UCAACCCCGAAACGCGCCACGUCUUUCGUCGAGAACCCCUUUUACGUUCCGUUCCACGGUGACUCGAGGAUUCCAAGUUUUCGUGAUCGUGAGAACAAGGAAUGAUCGCUGCAAACGCAGAAGAUCUCGGGAUGCGGAGGACAGAAGCGAGGCAAACACUCGACUGUGCUACGCCGAGGGAGGAAGCCAGGACUAGGGAAAGUGUUCCUGGAUGAAGAGAGCGUGCAUCUAUCUUCAAGUUUGAUCGCGAUGAAGGAACUCUCGGUAAAUUGACUAGAAGCAAUCAGUUACUCCUUCGCAUAAUUCAGCCCAUGCAUGAGUAUAUAGAUCGUCUACGUAUGCUACCACCCCUCCCAAAAUUGUAUUUCCAUUCGACGUAAGAGUGUCGCUAGAAUUUUAUAUAAGAGACCGUUUAAUAAAAGACUUUUUUCAUAGAA